UACAGAGGUCCCAAGCGUUGUUCGGAUUCACUGGGCGUAAAGGGUGCGUAGGUGGUCAGGUAAGUCUGAUGUGAAAGCUCUGGGCUCAACCCAGAAAUGGCAUUGGAUACUAUCUGGCUAGAGGAAUGGAGGGGAGACUGGAAUACUUGGUGUAGCAGUGAAAUGCGUAGAUAUCAAGUGGAACACCAGUGGCGAAGGCGAGCCUCUGGACAUUUCCUGACGCUGAGGCACGAAAGCCAGGGGAGCAAACGGG
rnacentral:rRNA from 1 species